GACGAACGCUGGCGGCGUGCCUAACACACGCAAGUCGAACGGAGUUGACCUUCGGGUUAACUUAGUGGCGAACGGGUGAGUAACGCGUGAGAAACCUGCCUCUCAGUGGGGGACAACAGUUGGAAACGACUGCUAAUACCGCAUGACACUUUAGUACCGCAUGGUACAGAAGUCAAAGCUUUAUGUGCUGAGAGAUGGUCUCGCGUCUGAUUAGCUAGAUGGCGGGGUAACGGCCCACCAUGGCGACGAUCAGUAGCCGGUCUGAGAGGAUGGACGGCCACAUUGGGACUGAGAUACGGCCCAGACUCCUACGGGAGGCAGCAGUGGGGAAUAUUGGGCAAUGGGGGAAACCCCGACCCAGCAACGCCGCGUGAAGGAAGAAGGCCUUCGGGUUGUAAACUUCUUUUACCAGGGACGAAGAACGUGACGGUACCUGGAGAAAAAGCAACGGCUAACUACGUGCCAGCCGCCGCGGUAACAC
rnacentral:rRNA from 1 species